rnacentral:rRNA from 1 species
GACGAACGCUGGCGGCGUGCUUAACACAUGCAAGUCGAACGGUGAACCUCUUCGGAGGGGAUCAGUGGCGAACGGGUGAGUAACACGUGGGCAACCUGCCCCCGGCUCUGGGAUAACUCCAAGAAAUUGGGGCUAAUACCGGAUGUUCACCGCUUCCCGCAUGGGUGGUGGUGGAAAGGGUUUCCGGCUGGGGAUGGGCCCGCGGCCUAUCAGCUUGUUGGUGGGGUAGUGGCCUACCAAGGCGACGACGGGUAGCCGGCCUGAGAGGGUGACCGGCCACAGGGGGACUGAGACCGGGCCGGGACCCCUAGGGGGGCCGGGGGGGGGGAAUAUGGGGAAGGGGGGGGAGGCCGGACGCAGCGACCCGGGGGGGGGGAGGACGGCCUUGGGUUUGAAAACCUCUUCCAGCGGGGACGAAGCGAAAGUGACGGUACCUGAAGAAGAAGCCCGGCCAAACUACGUC